CGUCUAUAUACGUAUAGCAUAUCAAUAAGCGGAGGAAAAGAAACUAACUAGGAUUCCCUCAGUAACGGCGAGUGGAGCGGGAAGAGCUCAAAUUUGAAAUCUUCAAGGUUUACCUUGACGAAUUGUAGUUUAAAGAAGUGUUUUCUGUUGGAGUUUUGGUAAAAGUUCUUUGGAAAUAGGACAUCAUAGAGGGUGAGAAUCCCGUAUUUGACCAUUAUUUCCAACUUUGUGAUACACUUUCAAAGAGUCGGAUUGUUUGGGAAUGCAGUCCAAAAUGGGUGGUAAAUUUCAUCUAAAGCUAAAUACUGGCGAGAGACCGAUAGCGAACAAGUACCGUGAGGGAAAGAUGAAAAGAACUUUGAAAAGAGAGUUAAACAGUACGUGAAAUUGUCAAAAGGGAAGCGUUUGACACCAGUGUUGUUUUCUCGAAAAUCAAUUAAAAAUGGCGGGAUUUUGUGUUGUAUUGACUUUAUCAGCUUUCUGCACUUUUUUCUUGUCUUUUUUAAUGCACUUUUCGUUUAACAAGUCAACAUCAAUUUCUUUUGUUGUAAAAGGGUCAUUGGAAGGUGGCUUUCUUUUCGGAGAAAGUGUUUAUAGCCUUUGACUUCUGCAAUCGGAGAGAUUGAGGUCUGCAGCGUAGAUCCUUCGGGGUUAGAUGCAUUUGUGCUAAGUUAUAGCCUUUCAUAGACAACUUGUUGACUAUGAUCAGUCAUGUAGCUUACUCGCUUAUGUUAUUUUACCUACGCUUAGGAUGUUGACGAUCAGCUGAGCGCG
rnacentral:rRNA from 1 species